UUUGAUCCUGGCUCAGAACGAACGCUGGCGGCACGCCUCAUACAUGCAAGUCGAGCGCGAAACCACCUUCGGGUGAUGUAGAGCGGCGAACGGGGUGAGUAACAGGUGGGUAAUCUGCCCUUUGGCGGGGGACGAACAGCUGGAAACGGCUGCUAAUACCGCAUGUGAUUGUGGACUUAUGGUCUGCAAGGAAAGGCGCCUCAAAGCGCCACCAAAGGAUGAGCCCGCCCCCCAUUAGCUAGUUGGUGAGAUAACAGCUCACCAAGGCAUCGAUGGGUAGCCGAGCUGAGAGGUUGAUCGGCCACACUGGAACUGAGACACGGUCCAGACACCUACGGGUGGCAGCAGUAGGGAAUAUUGCGCAAUGGGCGAAAGCCUGACGCAGCGAUGCCGCGUGAGUGACGAAGGUCUUAGGAUUGUAAAGCUCUUUUCUGAGGGAAGAAUAGGUCUGGUAGGAAAUGACUGGAUUCUGACGGUA
rnacentral:rRNA from 1 species